ANUAUCUAAACGAAGANNNUNNAUAUUNCCUUUAAAAAGCAAUGUGCACUUCUCUUUUAGUAAGACGCUGUGAUCCAUUAGAAAUUGGAUCAUUCCAAUGAUCGUUUGGCUAUCAAAAGGCCGAUGUGAAGUUCAUCGAUGCAAAUAACUCGAUCUUUUACGGUUGGGUAUAUUGUUUGGUGAGCUCAUCGUAACCUGUACAAUAGCUGUCUGAUGGAUUUUAAAGGUCAUAACAUUGAUGUCUUUGUGCAUCACUCAUAUUGUGAGAAUGGUUAUGUGCCCGAUCAACAGCGGUUAAAUUUGGGAUACCUUUUGGACCCGUCUUGAAACACGGACCAAGGAGUCUAUCUAGUAUGCGAGUAAAUGAGUAUAUGAAACUUAUUUGCAUAAAAAACUUGACUGUUAUGGGACUACGAGUUGUGCUUUACGGUGCAAUUCCUCCAUCCCGGGGUAUUUUCAUCAACAUAUGCAGCAAUGUAUAUGGAAAAUAUACCAUGAGCAUACUGGAUAUGACCCGAAAGAUGGUGAACUAUGCCUGAUCAGGUUGAAGUCAGGGGAAACCCUGAUGGAGGACCGAAGCAAUUCUGACGUGCAAAUCGAUUGUCAGAAUUGGGCAUAGGGGCGAAAGNNCAAUCGAACCAUCUAGUAGCUGGUUCCUUC
rnacentral:rRNA from 1 species